GCCGCUGUAGCUCAGCUGGCAGAGCGCCGGCCUCGUAAGGGUAUCUAGGGAAAGCCGGCGGUCGCGGGUUCAAAUCCCGCCGGCGGCU
rnacentral:tRNA from 1 species